CCCCUUUUCCCUCCUCUCUCUCACCCAAAUUCCUUCUCCCCAUCUCUUCCUCAUUCCCCCCCCCCUUCUUUUCCUCUCUCCGUCUCACUUUUUCCUUCUUUCUCCAACUUCUCCCUCUCUUCCAUCGUUCCCCAUUUCUCUUCCUCCUCCUCUCUCCCCUCUCUCUGUCUCUCUCUCUGUGUGUAUAAAUCAUUACUUCUUGCUUUUCUGGCUCCUCUAAUGACACACUUGGCAUCCAGCUCUGGAUCAAAAUAAGCCUGUUCGGUUGACAGUACUGUCAUUACAGUAGAGAAUGACUUUCUGGACGCAGCCGUGUUGGUCAUUUCCAUCAGACAGACAUCAUAAUUAAAGAAGAAAUUCUGGACAGGAAACAAGAUGGAAUUGUCAGUUGUGAAGCUACGUUAAUUAAUCAAGAAGGUUUAUAUUUGGGCUGGCGUAAUCCUUUAUGAAUCAGAAGGUCAGGAAGUGUAAAUAUGAAUGAGGUGAGAGAGAGUAAACAAGUCCAACAUUUUCCAAACAUGCUUAAUAUCUAUCCAUCCAUCUAUUUUGUAUAUCGCUCAACCUACACAGGGUCGCAGGGAGCCUGGUGCCUAUCCCAGGGGACGGGGUGUCAACCCAUUGCAGGACACACACACUAAUUUGAAAUGCCAAUCAGCCUACAAUGCAUGUCUUUGGACUGGGGGAGGAAACCAGAGUACCCAGACUUAACCCCCAAAGCACGGGGAGAACACAGGGAGAACUCCGCACACACAGGAUGGAGGCAGGAAUCAAACUCCAAACCCCAGAGGUCAGAGAGUGUGUUUGUGUGGGCGUGUUAGUCUUCUCCAGUCCCUGUGGAGUUCGCCACCUGUCCUUCCAGUUGACACUACUCCAUUGUAAUUGGUAGAAAAGCCUCUUUAGGGUGAGCGAUACGUCUCCGGGGAUCUCUGAGGGAGAGCGAGAGGAAGUGUGCUAAGGAUAUCGAAUGUCACCGACAUAUAAAGACUGACACGGGUUGGACUGUUUCUGCCAGAAGUGUGCAAGAGCUCACACUUGUCCAACAAAACCACAUGUAUUGAUACUUUUUUGCAGUCUAGGUUAUAUUUAUGGUGCAUUUUGGGUGAUCGUUUGAGCUUAAGUAAAGUGCUUUUGGAAACCACUGCUAUUAAAAUGAUUGGACCACCUACAGGAUCAAUCGCAGGAUCUUGGAAACUCUUCCACACAGAAAAUUUCCUUAGGUUUUCUCAUGUGCCAGUUUUCAGUAGGAUUCAAUUCCAUCUUCAUAAGA
ensembl:lncRNA